rnacentral:miRNA from 1 species
CACCAGUGAACACUGGGUCUCCUGGUAUGCCGCAAGCACUAACAGCUGGCACGCAUGGACAAGAGACAAAGCCAUCCCCAUGUUUACAAACUGCGGGUGAGGACAUAUGCUCCUCU